rnacentral:tRNA from 1 species
GCCUUCGUGGUGUAGUGGUCAGCAUGCUCGACGAUUUAACAAAGAGGUCCGCGGUUCGAAUCCCGGCGAAGACG